rnacentral:rRNA from 1 species
UACGUAGGGUGCGAGCGUUGUCCGGAAUCAUUGGGCGUAAAGCGCGCGUAGGUGGCCUCAUAAGUCCGCUGUGAAAGUCAAAGGCUCAACCUUUGAAAGCCGGUGGAUACUGUGAGGCUAGAGUACGGAAGAGGCGAGUGGAAUUCCUGGUGUAGCGGUGGAAUGCGCAGACAUCAGGAGGAACACCAAUGGCGAAGGCAGCUCGCUGGGACGGUACUGACGCUGAGGCGCGAAAGCUAGGGGAGCGAACAGG